rnacentral:rRNA from 3 species
UUUCCCUCAGGAUAGCUGGCACUCGCUUGAGCGAGUCUCAUCUGGUAAAGCGAAUGAUUAGAGGCCUUGGGGCCGAAACGACCUCAACCUAUUCUCAAACUUUAAAUGGGUGAGAUCUCUGGCUUGCUUGAACGUUGAAGCCACGAGAUAUUUGAAUGGAUCAGAGUGCCAAGUGGGCCAAUUUUGGUAAGCAGAACUGGCGCUGUGGGA